rnacentral:lncRNA from 1 species
GUGGCGAUCUUAACGGGUUUCAAAUUCUCAAACAGGAGGGGGUGGGGUGACCCAAGGGACUCCCCUAUAUUUCAUCUGAUUUGUUAUAUUGUCCCAUACAUGGAUAUAUAUGGUUUAGGGGUGGGGAUCUGGACCAUUUUAAAAUUCUAAAACAGGAAGGGUGGGGUGACCCCCAGCGACUCUUCCUAUAUUUCAUUUGAUUUUUCAUAUUGUCACAAACAUGAAUAUAUACGGUUAAGGGGUGUGGAUCUCGACCGUUUCCAAGUUCUCAAACAGGAGGGGUGGGGUAACUCCAGGGACUCCCCCUAUAUUUCAUUUUAUUUAUUAUAUUGUCCUAUACUUGAAUAUAUGCAGGGGCGGAUUCAGGGGGGGGGGGUUGCGAGCUUGCAAACCCCCUCCCCCCUCUUAAAUUUACAAAGCAUGGGUUGUUCUCAGCUAAAUAAAGAAUAUUUUUACCUCAAAUUUUUUUUAGCCUCGCUCUGCUCUGGGAACAGUAUAUCUAAUAUAUUAUAUUAAUAUACAUUGUAUAUGUUCCUGCUCUGCUCGGCGAAAAUUUAAGUUUGUGCCCCUCCUUACCUAAAAUGCUGGAUCUGCCCCUCAUAUGGUUUAGGGAUGGGGAGCUCGACCGUUUCCAAGUUAUCAAACAGGAAGGGGUAGAGUGGCCCAAAGAAUGCCACCUAUAUAUCAUAUGAUUCACUUACAU